CACACUUAAAUCUCUCCCUUCUCUUAAUUUCAGUUCCUUUCCUUUUCUGGUAGAGACAAAGGUGAAGCGUUUUAUCUGUGAACCCAAAACUCCGGCGCCGGUCACAGAAUCAGGAAGAGUCUUCCCUUGGUGUUUAACCACAUGGGGAUGCCUACAUGAUUAUUCACCCAUGUUUCAGAGGUGUCUGACCACGGAGGGAUGCCUGUCUUGGUCCUUCACCCUUAGCGGACCCCACUGAAAAUCGGACUGUUCAACUCCCCUGGCAGCCACUUCCAGAGCCCCUGGAACUCUGGCCCAAGGCUCUCUGACACCUUCCCAGACCUUCUUGGCUUAGCAGCUGAAGACUGACACUGCCCGAUCGCCUCAGAAGCCUAUAGGACCUUCACAGAUGCUCUGGGUAACCCUCACAGUGGAGGGCCUGGUUGCAGUAUGCCUGAAAUUUGGGAUGUAGAAGAUCCUGCCAAUGCUGGGAAAACUCCCUUAUGUAACCUCUUGGUGAAGGAUUCCAAACCUCACUUCACCACUGUAUUCCAGAACAGUGUUUACAAAGUCCUAGAAGUUGUAAAAGAAUGACUGCUACAUGACCUGCUGCCUACGGAGAACUACAUCUCUAAUGGUUUUAAUGUUUUGCUAAGUCAUGUGUUGUUCAUAUCCCAAAAACUUUUAUAGGUAACUGUUUUCAAAUAGAAAAUGUUUUAUUUGGUCAAUUUGAAUGUCAUUCUAAUUAUAAAAAUGACUCAUACCUUUCAUGCGCGUCCGUGUGAAGAGACCAC
rnacentral:lncRNA from 10 species